rnacentral:lncRNA from 1 species
UGGUGGCAACAGCUGGAGCAGCAGCGUAGCUGGCGACUGGAGCGUGAGCCACGGUGGCAACAGCUGGGGCGUGGUAGGUGGUGGCAACCUUGGUCACGGCUGGAGCAGCUGCGUAGGUGGCGACCGCUGGAGCAGUGGCAUAGGUGGCAACAGCUGGGGCGGCGUGGUAGGCGGCAACUGGAGCAGCAGCAUAGGUGGCAACAGCUGGAGC